rnacentral:rRNA from 1 species
UACGUAGGGUGCAAGCGUUGUUCGGAAUUAUUGGGCGUAAAGAGCUCGUAGGCGGUGUGUCGCGUCGGCCGUGAAAACCUGCAGCUUAACUGUGGGCUUGCGGUCGAUACGGGCAUCACUGGAGUUCGGCAGGGGAGACUGGAAUUCCUGGUGUAGCGGUGAAAUGCGCAGAUAUCAGGAGGAACACCGAUGGCGAAGGCAGGUCUCUGGGCCACUACUGACGCUGAGAAGCGAAAGCAUGGGGAGCGAACAGG